GAAGGAUCCUCUGAAAUUCACUCAGAUUCACUGGUAAAUAAUUUUCCUUUCCUGGAGAGAUGCAAUUGAACAGAAAUAUGCACAAUAAAAAAUAACCCUACCUGUCUUUAGCAUUCAUAUUGAAAAUAUGCUUGCUAUUUACAGUAACUUUUUAAAAAUCUGACUAAGUAGUGCAUUGUGUCUGAUACCCUUCAUUAAAACCAACUUCCAAUAAGUGGAAAACUUUUAGCUGUAAAAAUGUCAUUAUCUUUACCCACUACCCAACCAAAAUGGUGUUUACAAUCAGAUUUCUGAUGAAUGUAAAACAUCUGAACUUUUCUGUUUAGAAUGCCAUUAUACAGAUAUUUUGGCUUUCAAUGGAGACCAAUUAGUUCUAUCCCUCUACAUUCCUGAGUAAAUAGAAUUUCUUUAUCAGUGCUUUUCCUUCCCCUGCAUUUUGCAGUUUGUUGAUUCUAAAGUGUAUUUUCUGUAGUUAUUUGUGAUAUGACAUCUUGGUUGCUACACAGCAGUUCUCAGUGGUUGUAAAUCAAUUCCUUAAAGAAAUUAAUUAAAAAAUUUAAAGCAGUUAAUGCAGCUGAAGGCCUCCAGACUCAUGGAUCACCAGCUGGGUUUACGGAAGCCAUCUGGUAUAUACUUAUUUUUCUUUUUUCCUUUUUUCUUAGUUUGCAGAUAUAUUGUUCAGUCAAGGUCCUUCCUUGAAUGAUUCAGAAUGUAGCAUCUUCCUCCAAAUCCAUCUGAAUAUAGCAGCAAGAAGAUCCUCGCCAGAUACGUGGGCCUCUUGAACUUGGACUUCCCAGCCUGCAGAAUGGGCCCGUUACUGUCAGAUUCCGGCAGUUGACCCUGGUGAUUUCACAGCAGCAAGCACUGCAGGCGUUCCCAACACACAAGGCAAACUCUGUAUAUGGGCUCACCACCCACAGAUCCAGCUGUCUGUCAUGUCGUUCCCAUAUUGAAGGAACAUAACCUGUUAUUAAGCCAAUUCAGCCCUGGAAGAAGGAACAAGUUUCCAAAAUGCAAUCUUUGAGUUUGGAAAAUGGCAUUUGAGAGAAGACACUCCCAACUUCUUCUGCAUCUGGAUUUCCUGAGUCAGAAGGUAUCUUCCAGGGAUCUGAAGUGUAGAAAGAUGGAAAUCACAAGACUAUGGAGACUUGCAAACAUUCACCAGCAGUACCUUCAGAGCAAUCAACACAGCAGAAGGUCUCCAACUGAACCGAGUCCAGUUCCUGCUGAACACAAUUUGACUUCUGGAUGGCAGUCUGGAUUCUGAACCUCGCCCUUCUAACAUGGAAGCACAUGCACUAGACUGGACCUUGUCCA